UCCGUAGGUGAACCUGCGGAAGGAUCAUUACCUGGCCUUGGGCCGCUCGCGGGAGCUAGUCGCUUGCGACGACGCUACCGAGGGCGCUUAGCCCUUGACUAUCACCUUGACUACGUGCACCUUUUGUUGUUUCCUCGGCAGGUCACCUGCCGCCAGGAACCCCCUAAACCUUUUGCAAUAGCAUCCAAACUUCUGAAAACAAACCAAAUUAUUUACAACUUUUAACAAUGGAUCUCUUGGUUCUGGCAUCGAUGAAGAACGCAGCGAAAUGCGAUAGUAGAUGUGAAUUGCAGAACCGUGAGUCAUCAGAUCUUUGAACGCAACUGGCGCUAGGUGGCUAUCCACCCAGCAUGCUUGUUUCAGUGUCUCAUUUUCUCCUAACCAAAAUCUUAAUGCUUGAGAUACCCUUCUCUUGCUAAGUACGAAAGCACUCUGAGCCCUGCAGGUGAUUUGGCUUCGGCCAAGGUCACACUCAAUGCAGCAGUCACAUUUCUGAUGUGAACUCAUUGAGAGUAGAGUCAGCGCAGUUUAUCUGCAAGUGCUUAGGCCCUCAAACUCUAUCAGGCAUCUGGAAAUCAAGGCAGGGGGAUCACCCGGCUGGAACUUAAGGCAUAUCAAUAAGGCGGGGAGGGG
rnacentral:rRNA from 1 species